rnacentral:rRNA from 1 species
GCUAUCGGAUGAUACUAAGCCAUGCGAGUCUUGUAGUAAUACAAGGCAUACGGCUCAGUAACACGUAGUCAACCUACCCUAUGGACAAGAAUAAUCUCGGGAAACUGGGCAUAAUUCUUGAUAGAUCAUAAUGCCUGGAAUGGUUUAUGGUUAAAAUGAUUCGUCGCCAUAGGAUGGGACUGCGGCCUAUCAGCUUGUUGGUGAGGUAAUGGCCCACCAAGGCGAUUACAGGUACGGGCUCUGAGAGGAGAAGCCCGGAGAUGGGUACUGAGACACGGACCCAGGCCCUAUGGGGCGCAGCAGGCGAGAAAACUUUGCAAUGUGCGAAAGCACGACAAGGUUAAUCCGAGUGAUUUCUGCUAAAGAAAUCUUUUGCCAGUCAUAAAACCACUGGUGAAUAAGGGGUGGGCAAGUUCUGGUGUCAGCCGCCGCGGUAAAACCAGCACCUCAAGUGGUCAGGAUGAUUAUUGGGCCUAAAGCAUCCGUAGCCGGCUUUGUAAGUUUUCGGUUAAAUCCAUGUGCUCAACGCAUGGGCUGCCGAAAAUACUGCAUGGCUAGGGAGUGGGAGAGGUAGACGGUACUCAGUAGGAAGGGGUAAAAUCCUUUGAUCUAUUGAUGACCACCUGUGGCGAAGGCGGUCUACCAGAACACGUUCGACGGUGAGGGAUGAAAGCUGGGGGAGCAAACCGGAUUAGAUACCCGGGUAGUCCCAGCUGUAAACGAUGCAGACUCGAUGAUGCAUUGGCAUAAUAGCCAGUGCAGUGUCGCAGGGAAGCCGUUAAGUCUGCCGCCUGGGAAGUACGUACGCAAGUAUGAAACUUAAAGGAAUUGGCGGGGGAGCACCACAAGGG